rnacentral:tRNA from 1 species
GGACAGGUGGCCGAGUGGCUGAAGGCACUCGCCUGCUAAGCGAGUAAGGGGUUCACGCUCCUUCGCGGGUUCGAAUCCCGCCCUGUCCG